rnacentral:misc_RNA from 1 species
AACCUUAUGGACCUGCGGGCGUAUACCUGCGGAGGGAUCAUUACACAAUACAAUAUGAAGGCUGUCCGCAGCUGGAGUAUUUUAUUACCCUUGUCUUUUGCGCACUUGUUGUUUCCUGGGCGGGUUCGCUCGCCACCAGGACCACCAAAUAAACCUUUUUUAUGCAGUUGCAAUCAGCGUCAGUACAAACAAUGUAAAUCAUUUACAACUUUUAGCAAUGGAUCUCAGAUCGGAAGAGCA